rnacentral:rRNA from 1 species
UACGUAGGGUGCAAGCGUUGUCCGGAAUUAUUGGGCGUAAAGAGCUCGUAGGCGGUCUGUCGCGUCGGCUGUGAAAACCCGGAGCUCAACUCCGGGCCUGCAGUCGAUACGGGCAAACUGGAGUGUUGCAGGGGAGACUGGAAUUCCUGGUGUAGCGGUGAAAUGCGCAGAUAUCAGGAGGAACACCGGUGGCGAUGGCGGGUCUCUGGGCAACAACUGACGCUGAGGAGCGAAAGCGUGGGGAGCGAACAGG